ACACAAGGAAGGAGGUGGUCCGCGAAAUUGAUAGCUUCAUGGACAUGUGAGGUGGCUGCGCGCUAGCAGCAGUGGCUCGGAACAACCGGCGACUUUGCGCUGGCGAAUUCCCCGCAGCCACCCGGCCCCCGAGUUUUCGGUCCGUCCAACCGGAAAUGCGCUCGGGGGCCGCUCCAU
rnacentral:sRNA from 1 species